ACUUCUUGAGGAAAGUCCGGGCUCAAUAUAUAAACCGCUAGAUAACGUCUAGUGCAACAAAAACUAGUGUGAGGAAAGUGCCACAGAAACAAGCGUUAUAAUGACGGUGCAAUGUCUCAAUUCGAGACAGUAAAUAUGAGAGUAUUUACCUCGGUAAACCCCAGUAUUGAGCAAGACUUUUUA
rnacentral:RNase_P_RNA from 14 species